rnacentral:lncRNA from 1 species
GGAAGUGUUAGUCCAAAUAAUUAUGACGUCUUGAAAGGCUAUUAUAUUUUUUUUCUUUGACGCCUUACUUCGUCAAAGAAAAAAAUUAUAAUAGCCUUUCAAGAUGUCAUAAUUAUUUGGACUACGGAAGUGUAAGCAUAAAUGGUCAUCUGGUUCUACUUUACGGUCUUAACUUUAGUUCGUGCAUGUCUUUAUAAUUUACUCAAACUGGAUAAAUCACAGAAGAUUGAUUCGAGUGAAGCUCUACUGUGAUAUUCAAGUUUGGUAUAUGUUUACCCCGUUAUUGAUAGGAUUUCAAACUCCUGAG